rnacentral:misc_RNA from 1 species
AAUCUGCCCAAUUUUUAGUAAUUAUUAUUGUUUUUGUUAUUGGAAGUAACACGCUCAAAGGCCUCUCGACUGUAGUCAUGGUUGUUCUUCACGGUAGUUGGUCACGACGGUUUGUCACGGUGGAUCGUCACGGUAUGUGUAUAGGAGAGGGUUGCGUGUUGGUUUAACAACAACACUAAAAAAAAAAAAAAAUUCUUCAGUACUGACACGAAAUGUUGCUAAAACAAAAUCUUGAUUCAAGUGAUUAUGAAAAUUUAAAUCAGUCUAGUGAAAUUAAUUUUCAUCCUUACAUCAAGCAUAAAGUAUAUGACAUUAAAAAGUCUGAAAAUGACCCAAGAGAUUACUGCUUUCUAGUUCUAGAUAACGAAAUACGAAUAUUACUUGUUAGCGACGAAGCAACCGAGAAAGCAGCCGCAUCAGUAGAUGUUCAUGUUGGUUUUGAGAGUGACCCUGAUGAUGUACCCGGUAUCGCACACUUUUGUGAACACAUGUUGUUUCUUGGGACGCAUAAAUAUCCAAUUGAAAAUGAAUAUUCAAAGUUUCUUUCACAAAAUGGCGGCUAUUCAAAUGCUUAUACAUCAGAUCAGCAUACAAAUUAUUAUUUUGGUGUGAAGUCUGAUCAGCUAGAGGGUGCUUUAGACAGGUUUGCACAAUUUUUUAUCUGUCCACUUUUUACUGAGAGUUCUACUGAAAGAGAGUUAAGUGCUAUUGAUUCUGAGUUUCAAAAAAAUAUUUUUGAUGAUGCGUGCAGAAUCUCAAGUGUUGAUCAAGAAACUUCAAAACCAGGACAUGUUUAUACUAAGUUUGGGUCAGGCAACAUCACUACACUAAAAACGAUCCCUUCAGAAAAAAAUAUUGACAUUAGAGAUCGUUUAAUAAAGUUUUAUGAGUCUCAUUAUUCUGCAAAUAUUAUGACUCUUGUUGUUCUUGGUAAAGAAAGAUUAAAUGAUCUGGAAAAAAUGGUUGUCUCUAAGUUUAAAGAUAUCGCCAACAAAAACAUUAAUAUGUGCUUUAGCUCUGAGCAUCCUUAUAGCAAGGAUCAACUUUCAUUAAGUUUCAAUGUUGCAACAAUAAAGAAUCAUCAUUCGUUACAACUACGGUUUCCUAUGCCUGAUAUGCAUGCUUGGUAUAAGUCAAAGCCAGAAUGCUAUGUUUCACAUUUAAUUGGUCAUGAAGGGAAGGGAAGUUUGUUUUCUCUUUUAAAACGAAAUGGUUGGGUACAAUAUUUGGGAGCCAUGACAAAUAAAAAUUCAAAAGGAUUUCACUUUUUUGUUAUUAAAAUGGCAUUGACAAAUGAUGGUUUAGUUCAUGUGACAGAAAUAAUAACUACAGUAUUUCAAUAUAUCAAUCUUUUAAAAUCAUCCUCUGCUCAUGAAUGGAUAUAUAAUGAACUUCAGAUGGUACAACGUAUUGAAUUCAAAUAUAAAGAGGUAACAUCUCCAAUAAAUUAUGUCACAGUUUUAUCUUCACUAAUGCAGCAUUAUCCACCUGAAGAUAUUUUGUAUGGUUCAUACAUGAUGGAGGAGUUUAGUCUAAAUUUAAUAAAAAUGGUAAUUGAUCUCUUAACUCCUGAUAAGUUAAGGUAUUUUGUGGGAUCACCAAAUUUUAAAGAUGGUAUGUUGUUAAGAACAAACUAUUACAAUGCUGAAUAUAGCUUUAAACAUAUUGAAGCAGCUCAAAUAAAGAAAUGGGAAUCAUGUGGUUUAAAUCCUGAUCUUCACAUGCCAGAUAAAAAUUCAUUUAUGCCAUGCAGCUUGGAAGUUAAAGUUACCAAGAAAGAUGUAAAGAAUGUUCCUCAUAUUUUAAAGGAUACAGAAAUGAUGCGCAUUUGGUACAAAGCAGAUGAUACUUUCCUUUUGCCAAAAGCACUUAUUAGUUUAUCGAUUAAAAGUCCUGUUGCAAAUAAUAAUCCUUUGGAAAGCAAUUUAUUAGCAAUGUUUGUAGAAAUUCUGAAUGAUGAGUUAAAUGAAUUGCUCUAUACUGCUGUGCUUGCUAAACUUUUUUGCAUCAUAACCCAAAGCAUAGACGGAAUUUUUAUUUGUAUCUAUGGUUAUGACAAGCAAUAUUUAUUUCUUUCAAAAAUAUUUGAAAAGUUAAAAGAAUUAAAAAUUAAUGAAGAUAGAUUCAAUGUCAUCAAAGAAUCACAAGAAAAAUGUUUAAGGAACCAUGAAUUAAUUGAACCUUAUCAUCAAGCAUCUUUCUGUACCAUGUAUCUAUUAGAUGAAGCUGUUUGGGAUGUGGAGGAUAAAUUAGUAUGCAUGAAAGAUGUUACUGUAAAGAGUUUAGAAGAGUACAUAAACAGAUUUCUGGUGAGUAUCUUUGUAGAAUGUUUACUCUGUGGUAAUCUUUUACAAGAUGAUGUCAACACAAUCAUAACAAUUAUUGAAGAGAAGCUGUUAACAAAUGCACAUCCAUUGCUUCCUUUACAGCACAUUGCUCCAAGAAUUUAUCGUUUAAAUAAAGGUAUAUAUUAUUUAUUUGAGAAGCGUAGCAAGCUACAUAUUACUUCUUGUAUUUAUACACUUGUACAAGUUGGAGUUCAAGAAACAAAAGUGAAUGUUCUUUGUGAAAUUAUUACUUCUAUGAUGGAAGAACCGUUUUAUAAUCAACUCAGAACAAAAGAACAGCUAGGUUACAUUGUGCAAUGUGGAAUUAGCUGUUCAAAUUCUACAACGGGAGUUUAUUUAUUGGUACAAUCAGAUAAGCAACCAUCAUAUGUUGAAAAAAGAAUUGAGAUUUUUCUGCUUGAUUUUGAGAUGAGGUAGAGACUAAGGCCUUGCAAAGUAUAUCAAAGGAAGAUGUUUUAUUUUUUUAUAAGAAAUACAUAUGUCCAAAUUCCAAUGUUCGAAAAUCUUUAACAGUUGCGAUACUUGGAAAAGAUUCACAAAGCCUUUUAGAGGACAC